GACAGAGGAUGCAAGCGUUAUCCGGAAUGAUUGGGCGUAAAGCGUCUGUAGGUGGCUUUUUAAGUCUGCCGUCAAAUCCCAGGGUUUAACCCUGGACAGGCGGUGGAAACUACCAAGCUGGAGUACGGUAGGGGCAGGGGGAAUUUCCGGUGGAGCGGUGAAAUGCGUAGAGAUCGGAAAGAACACCAACGGCGAAAGCACUCUGCUGGGCCGACACUGACACUGAGAGACGAAAGCUAGGGGAGCGAAUGGG
rnacentral:rRNA from 1 species